rnacentral:lncRNA from 1 species
GAAAAAUGAUCUUCAACACAGGAGUACCAAAAAUAUAUUAUCUAUUUGAUCGCGACUUUAUGAGUCGAAUUGGGGUACUAACUGCAAGUGCACAGUUCUAUCGCGUAGUUUUAAAAGAUAUCGAUCCCACAGGGACUUAUGAAUCGAUAUACCGUUUUCUAAGGUUACUAAGUCGAAUUGGGGUACUAACUGCAAGUGCACAGUUCUAUCGCGUAGUUUUAAAAGAUAUCGAUCCCACAGGGACUUAUGAAUCGAUAUACCGUUUUCUAAGGUUACUUCGUAAAGCUAAGGCGG